rfam:Triticum aestivum genome assembly, contig: Triticum_aestivum_CS42_TGACv1_scaffold_320491_4BL
AUAGUACUCACUCUGUCCGGAAACACUUGUCAUCAAAAUGGAUAAAAAUGAUGUAUCUUAAUGUAUUUAAGUUCUAGAUAUAUCUUUUUUUAUUCAUUUUAAUGACGAGUAUUUUCGGACGGAGGGAGUAGUUU